CCUACGGGUGGCAGCAGUGGGGGAUAUUGCACAAUGGGGGAAACCCUGAUGCAGCGACGCCGCGUGGGUGAAGAAGCGCCUCGGCGCGUAAAGCCCUGUCAGCAGGGAAGAAAAUGACGGUACCUGAAGAAGAAGCCCCGGCUAACUACGUGCCAGCAGCCGCGGUAAUACGUAGGGGGCAAGCGUUAUCCGGAUUUACUGGGUGUAAAGGGGGCGCAGACGGCGAUGCAAGCCAGGAGUGAAAGCCCGGGGCCCAACCCCGGGACUGCUCUUGGAACUGCGUGGCUAGAGUGCAGGAGGGGCAGGCGGAAUUCCUGGUGUAGCGGUGAAAUGCGUAGAUAUCAGGAGGAACACCGGUGGCGAAGGCAGCUCACUGGACUGCAACUGACACUGAGGCUCGAAAGUGUGGGUAUCAAACAGGAUUAGAUACCCCGGUAGUC
rnacentral:rRNA from 1 species